rnacentral:rRNA from 1 species
AUUGAACGCUGGCGGCAGGCCUAACACAUGCAAGUCGAGCGGAUGAGUGGAGCUUGCUCCAUGAUUCAGCGGCGGACGGGUGAGUAAUGCCUAGGAAUCUGCCUGGUAGUGGGGGACAACGUUUCGACAGGAACGCUAAUACCGCAUACGUCCUACGGGAGAAAGCAGGGGACCUUCGGGCCUUGCGCUAUCAGAUGAGCCUAGGUGGGAUUAGCUAGUAGGUGAGGUAAUGGCUCACAGAGGCGACUAUCCGUAACUGGUCUGAGAGGAUGAUCAGUCACACUGGAACUGAGACACGGUCCAGACUCCUACGGGAGGCAGCAGUGGGGAAUAUUGGACAAUGGGCGAAAGCCUGAUCCAGCCAUGCCGCGUGUGUGAAGAAGGUCUUCGGAUUGUAAAGCACUUUAAGUUGGGAGGAAGGGCAGUAAGUUAAUACCUUGCUGUUUUGACGUUACCAACAGAAUAAGCACCGGCUAACUUCGUGCCAGCAGCCGCCGUAACAC